rnacentral:rRNA from 1 species
UACGGAGGGGGCUAGCGUUGUUCGGAAUUACUGGGCGUAAAGCGCACGUAGGCGGCUUUGUAAGUUAGAGGUGAAAGCCCAGGGCUUAACCCUGGAAUUGCCUUUAAGACUGCAUCGCUCGAAUUGUGGAGAGGUGAGUGGAAUUCCGAGUGUAGAGGUGAAAUUCGUAGAUAUUCGGAAGAACACCAGUGGCGAAGGCGACUCACUGGACACGUAUU